GGGGAAUCUUGCACAAUGGGGGCAACCCUGAUGCAGCGACGCCGCGUGAGCGAUGAAGCCCUUCGGGGCGUAAAGCUCUUUCGACCGGAACGAUAAUGACGGUACCGGGAGAAGAAGCUGCGGCUAACUACGUGCCAGCAGCCGCGGUAAUAAGUAGGGGGCAAGCGUUGUCCGGAUUUACUGGGUGUAAAGGGCGCGCAGGCGGGAUAAAAAGUCAGUGGUGAAAUCCUACAGCUUAACUGUAGAACUGCCUUUGAUACUUUUAUUCUUGAGUUCGGGAGAGAGAGACGGAAUUCCAGGUGUAGUGGCGAAAUACGUAGAUAUCUGGAAGAACACCAGUUGCGAAGGCGGUCUCUUGGUCCGACACUGACGCUGAGGCGCGAAAGCGUGGGGA
rnacentral:rRNA from 1 species